UACGGAGGAUCCGAGCGUUAUCCGGAUUUAUUGGGUUUAAAGGGUGCUCAGGCGGGGGAUUAAGUCGGCGGUGAAAUUUUGCAGCUCAACUGUAAAAGUGCCUUCGAAACUGGUUUCCUUGAGUGUGGAUGAGGUAGGCGGAAUGUGGUGUGUAGCGGUGAAAUGCAUAGAUAUACCACAGAACACCGAUUGCGAAGGCAGCUUACUAAACUACUACUGACGCUCAGGCACGAAGGCGUGGGGAUCAAACAGGAUUAGAUACCCCCGUAGUCCCU
rnacentral:rRNA from 1 species